UUUGUUUUUUAAUUAAAAACUAGAAUGAAAGAUUUUACAUUUUAAUUUCUUUAUUAAAUAUAAUAUACUAACUUAUAUUAAAUAUAAAAAUAUAUUUAUAAAAUAAAAAGACGACAAGACCCUAUUAAAUUUUACUUAUUGUUUAGCUGGGGCAGCUUUUUAAAUAAAACUUUAAAAUUUAUAAUAUAAUAAUAUAUCUAUACUAAAAUUAAAAAAUCUAUUAUAAAUAAAUUAAUCUAAUUACUAUAGGGAUAACAGCGUUAUAUUUUUUUCAAGUUCAUAUUUAAAAAAAUCAUUGCGACCUCGAUGUUGAAUUAUAUUUCUUUA
rnacentral:rRNA from 1 species